CCUACGUGGGGCAGCAGUGAGGAAUAUUGGUUAAUGGGCGCGAGCCUGAACCAGCCAAGUAGCGUGAAGGAUGACUGCCCUACGGGUUGUAAACUUCUUUUAUAAAGGAAUAAAGUGAGGCACGUGUGCCUUUUUGUAUGUACUUUAUGAAUAAGGAUCGGCGAACUCCGUGCCAGCAGCCGCGGUAAUACGGAGGAUCCGAGGGUUAUCCGGAUUUAUUGGGUUUAAAGGGAGCGUAGAUGGGUUGUUAAGUCAGUUGUGAAAGUUUGCGGCUCAACCGUAAAAUUGCAAUUGAUACUGGCAGUCUUGAGUACAGUUGAGGUAGGCGGAAUUCGUGGUGUAGCGGUGAAAUGCUUAGAUAUCACGAAGAACUCCGAUUGCGAAGGCAGCUUACUAAACUGCCACUGACAUUGAUGCUCGAAAGUGUGGGUAUCAAACAGGAUUAGAUACCCCUGUAGUC
rnacentral:rRNA from 1 species